AAGGAUCAUUACAACAAGGUUCCCUGGCCCUCGAAGCUUCGGCGGAGGGGUGCUACAGCCUGACUUUAUACCCACCCUUUGCCUAUGUGUACCCCUAUUGCUUCCCUCGGCGGGUUCGCCCGCCGACAGGAACCAACUAAACCCUUUGCAUUAUACAUUUAACACUUCCGAUACAAAACUAAAUUAUUACAACUUUUAACAAUGGAUCUCUUGGUUCUG
rnacentral:misc_RNA from 1 species